rnacentral:lncRNA from 1 species
CAUUGUCAUAGAGUUUUUAAACAUUCAUCAUAAAACAAAGUGGAGUGGUCAUGUUUUAACCCUAUUAAAUAAGCAGAAACUGACAGAUGGGUCGUGCGCCGUGCGCUUUUACGUGAAAAUAAACCAAGCUGGAUGUGUUUCUGUGUUCAAUUUUACUGGAGGGAAUCAAACAGAACUAGUGGAGUGCUAAAAUCCACUUCCUGUGGCGAUCCGUUUCAGUGAACGAACAGAAAAGUUUUUAACUUUUAAAUUGUGUACAUUAUUUGUAAAAAAUAAAUAAAUAAAUAAAUAAAUAAAUAAAAUAAAUUGUCAACGCUGUGUGUAGCGAGACUCUGAAAAUCUUAUUUUCUUAGGCUACAUUUGUCUUUAGCACAUGCUCUAAUUUUUGUCAUUGUCAAGGAAAAAAGUUAAUAAUAAUAAAUAAAAAAAAACAUCUUCGAUCACAAAUGAUGGGCUCUGAUUGGUCACACACAGACACGCGGUUUGUACGGAAACCGUGUGCUGGAAACACAUGGAAUGACUGGACAACAAAAACACAUUAAAAUUAUAAUAAUAUUAAUAAUAUUACAAAACAGACUUGGCCCAAGUAAAAAUCUGGACAUUGUCAUAGAGAGGGUUGGAAUGAAACUCUGCAAGACUGUGGCUUUUCAGGACCAAUGUUGGCCAACCCUGGUUUAAGGUAGGGGGAUAGAAAAUACAGUGUGUACAGUAUAAAAACCAUUACGCCUAGUAUGGAGAAUACCCAUAAACCAUUUACACAAGUGUGUGUGUAUUUUAGCCAAGUUUCUACAGAAAACAACAAGAAAGGAAGCAUAUUUCCCAGCUAUGAUUCUGCCACUUUAAACGUUUAGUUUGUUGAUGUUGUCAAGAGAUACAAUUCAAUCGGACAGGUUAGUCUAGUAUUCGGCCAUUUGGAGAUUACAGUCACCAGCCAAUAACUAAGAGAUCUUAGCCAAUUAACAGUAGUAGUAUUUCAUUUGUAUGUAAGUCUGCCAUCUAAUCAUGAUAAAUCAUUAGAUACUUAGUACUUCAAAAAUACCACAUGUGCGAAGAACAUGGUCAUUUUCUAUUAGUGCUGACUAUCGCUUUCAAGUUCUCAAAGGAACUUCUGUGUAUUGUGUGUUGCAAUGCGUAACGCAUUGUUUUGUUAUUCAUUAUUCUAGAUUUCUCCACAAACAUGGAACUUUCAUUUUUGUUUACAAAAUGAAGGGCAAAUGAUGCGCAUUGGGAAUGACAUUACUGAUUAUUUGCGUAUUUUACCGCCAAACCCUAGAUAAUUCUAGAGAAUAGUAAAACAAAAUUUUACUAUUUUAGCCAUUCUCCUAAAGUAAUAUUUCCUAGCAGCCUUUAUCGCUAGGCUUGGACAGUACACAGACUUUACGACCACCAACAAUUGCAACUUUUUAAGCCCACUUCUACCGCGAAUUCUUUACUGACAGACAAACACACUACAAAUCAGGCCUAAACAAAAUCCCAAACCUCCUCACUGGUGACUAUGAUAAUGAACGAAAUACAAUCAUUCACCAAAAACUGAUUAUCCCCGAUUUGGAGGCUGCUACGUUACUUCCCCUUCCGUAUUGUCUCAUGGAAGAUAAUAUUUCCGAAAACCCAAUUUAUAUCCCAAGUGUACAAACAAUUCAAUUUAGAUAAUGGCAAGGAC